GUGCUUGCUUCAGUAGCACAUAUACUAAAAUUGGAAUGAUACAGAGAUUAGCAUGGCCCUUGUGCAAGGAUGACAUGCAAAUUCGUGAAGUGUUUCAUAUUUUU